rnacentral:sRNA from 1 species
UAAUUUUUUUUUUCAUUUAAAUUUACAGAUUGCCAGAAUUGAAGCCUCUUACACCUGCUGAGAUUAUCUCCCCUCAGCGACUUCUGUCACAGAGAUAUAGGCAAGUGUCAUUAGUGCCAAGGCUCAGAACGGCGGAAAUCUUACCGGAAUAUCGCCACACGCCAUCUUUAGAAAGAGAGAACAAAAGUAGAACAGAUGAUGUCAUCUCCCCUCACAGUUUAGAGCAAAAUUCUGAGAGUGGCAGAACCAUGACAGCCAGGAGUAACAGCGUGCAGUGGAAACUAGGUCAAGGCAACAAUGGGGUUUUUGAUGUCACGGGUCAAAGUCAUGUCCAAGGUCCAUUUUCUAGAAGUUUCAAAGUCAGAUGCAGGGCUCCUCCAAGCUGGAUGCGAAUGAAAUGGGGUCGAUCUAAGACCAUGGUCUUAUGAAAAAAAACUAAUUUUACAAAACUGUU